UAAAUAGCCAUGCACAAGUAAGAGAACAAUGGCAGACCACUGAGCUGUGUUUGGUGUUUGUGCCUAGUCACACUGCCAACUACUGGCCUGGCAUGCACACAAGAGCAUUUUCAGUCGUUUCCGAUGAGGCAUAUACAUGGGGAUCAUCAUCAAAAGGAUCUUGUCUGAAUGCAGCACUUUUUUUCAAAAUGCUAAGUAACAUAUUUUCCAUUUUUAGCGAGACCUACAUCACGUUAACGUGACCAAAGAUGUUUCCCUGCCCCAGCACGCCUGAUUCAAACGAUCAGCUCAUCGUGAAGCUCUGCUGAAGACUGAUAACGAACCACUGGCUUAAAUCAGGCUGUUUAUCAGAAACGCACAUUGCAACAUUUAUGCUGAUGUGUCAAGAAGGAGCCUUGAAAAGGGAUAUAAAGCUUCAAGAUGCAAGAGACGGUGAAGGGGAAGGACAGCCAAAAGCGGGGAGAGUUAGCAAAAUGAUUGCUUGAGUGAGUGAGAAACUGACAGCUCAAUGCCAGAAGAAUAGAGUGCUCACACUUCAGUCUGGGCCAGAACUGACAGCAUCAGACGUUGUGAUGUUCAUUCAAAGAGCCACGAGACACCUCGGGGCCACGAGGCCAAACCAGCACACCUUCUGUCCCGUUCAAACUAUCUCGAUAUGCUUCCCCUCUGUUUCCCCUCCUCCUUUACAUUUUAUACACUUCUGUCUAGA